UGUGGCUCAGUCGUUAAGUGUUCUUCAGUUCAAUUACUGAUGUCACGAAAAGAAAGAAAAGCAAACCGUCAGAGGAUACGGGGCUGAUGUCAAUAGCUCUGGUGCAGCAGGUGAUAAGUGGUUUUGGAGGGUACCUAAUGCUCAAGUGGGACGAAAGCUCAGGUAUGUGGCCAGAGGAAGGCGCGAGCACCCAGACACAGGAAGAAAACCAAGAUAGCUCAGACUUGAGGAAAGAAGAGCCCCAAUCCAGAGGCGCUCCGGAGAAAGACCAGGAAAGGGCUAGAGGUGCAGGAACCCAGAACCUCCAGAUUGCUCAAGAAUCGCUGGACCGGGCAGUCGGUCAAGCUGCUCUAAGGCGGGGACAAACCCAGAGCUUGAGGGACGGGAGUGAGGGGACUGCAGCCGCUGCACCUUGGCCCCUCCCUCUGCUUCCUUUCUGGGGGGAAAAAAAUUCUCUACAGCCACCUGGGUCUGAUUCCUGGCAGCCCGUGAACAGAUCUCCAGGAUCUGAGCUGAAAGCCAUCGUCGUUGCUACCAACCCCAAGACAUACUAAGGAAGAAAACUACCUGGCAAAAGGUGCAAAUAACACCCACCUCACACUUUAGGGGCACACCAGACUGAAAUGAAGACAAUUCUGGUUUGUGGUGUGUGCCCCAAUAGUGACCAAGUGACCUGUGGGCAGGUUCAGAGGGGCUAAAGAGAAUGAAAAGGAUCCCAGGAAGCAGGAACUUAAAUUGCAAGCCCCCUGAACAAUUUAAGUUUGCCAUCCCAUCUGUAAAAUCCAGCUAACGAUAAUGCCCAAACUGCCACAAAGCAAAGAUCUGGACCAGAAGAUGUUAGAGCCCAAGGACCUGGAGCGUUGGCUCAGCCUGGUGAAGCUGGAAGAGAAGGCUACCAGAACAGGACUAUUUUAAUAAUAGUAAAGACCACAGUUCCAACCAAGCUCAAUUACAAAUGGGAAAGGGUGGAGGCAAAUAUACACCCUUGAAAAAUCGCCCUUUGGCCUCACACGCAAUUCCCAAGUCCCCUGUUUCUCUUCUAUUGUGUAGCCUAUAUAAAUGACCCCUGACCUGGUGAUGGGAACAAAAAUUAUAUUAUUUAUUUAUUUAUUUUGGUACUGGGGAUUGAACCCAGGAGCACUCUACCACUUAGCUGCAUCCCCAACCACCCUCCACCACCACACUUUUUAGACAGGGUCUGGCCAAGUUGCUGAGAACUGUCUCAGUCUUCCAAACUGCUGAGAUUACAGGCAUGCAUCACCACAUCUGGCAAGAAUAAUAUUUAAUAACAGUUAUUAAGUCCUUACUAUGAGCCAGCACUCUUCCUGGUGCCUCUUUAUGUCAAUCAAUACUGAGCAGGAACAAAGGAACAAAUUUUAGCCUUUUUUUCUUUUGGUACUGGGGAUUGAAUAGGGUGUUUUACCACUGAGCCACAUCCCCAUCCCCUUUUGUUUUUAUUUUGAGACAGGAUCUCUAAUGGGUUAGGCCCUGCUAAAUUGCUGAGGCCGGCCUUGAACUUGAGAUCCUCCUGCCUCAGCCUCCAAGUCACUGAGAUUACAGGCAUGCGCCAACAUGCCCAGCCCAUCUUCAUUUUAAAGAAAAUGGAGGCACUAAAAAGUUACAGACUUUGUAGGCUGCUAUAGAGCUAAUAAAGGGCACAGCUGGAGUCUCACAUAAGUAAUAGUUUCUAUCUGGGGACACCAUCUGAUCUUAAUCUUCAGGAUGUAGCCUUUCCUGCACUAUUGUCAAAAAAAAAAAAAACCAAAA